GACGGAGGAUGCAAGUGUUAUCCGGAAUCACUGGGCGUAAAGCGUCUGUAGGUGGUCCAAUAAGUCAACUGUUAAAUCUUGGGGCUCAACCUCAAAAUCGCAGUCGAAACUAUUAGACUAGAGUAUAGUAGGGGUAAAGGGAAUUUCCAGUGGAGCGGUGAAAUGCGUAGAUAUUGGAAAGAACACCGAUGGCGAAGGCACUUUACUGGGCUAUUACUAACACUCAGAGACGAAAGCUAGGGUAGCAAAUGGG
rnacentral:rRNA from 1 species